AUCACUUCUCUGCCUUUUGGCUAAGAUCAAGUGUAGUACCUGUUCUUACCAGAGCUGACUUUCCCACACUGGUUAUUUCCAAAGCAUUAAAGGACAAUUGGGGGGCCGGCACUGUGGAGUAGUAGGCUAAGCCUCUGCCUUCAGUUUCAGCAUCCCAAAUGGGUGCUGACCAGUU
ensembl:snRNA U2 U2 spliceosomal RNA